AUUGAACGCUGGCGGCAGGCCUAACACAUGCAAGUCGAACGAGUGGCGGACGGGUGAGUAAUGUCUGGGAAACUGCCCGAUGGAGGGGGAUAACUACUGGCAACGGUAGCUAAUACCGCAUACCAUCGGAUGUGCCCAGAUGGGAUUAGCUCGUAGGUGGGGUAACGGCUCACCUAGGCGACGAUCCCUAGCUGGUAUGAGAGGCUGCCCAGCCACACUGGAACUGGGACACGGUCCAUACUCCUACGGGAGUCAGCAGUGGGGAAUAUUGCACAAUGGGCGCAAGCCUGAUGCAGCCAUGCCGCUUGUAUGAAGAAGGCCUUCGGGUUGUAAAGUACUUUCAGCGAGGAGGCGUUACUCGCAGAAGAAGCACCGGCUAACUCCGUGCCAGCCGCCGCGGUAAUUC
rnacentral:rRNA from 1 species